rnacentral:rRNA from 1 species
CAGUCGCCGCGGUAAUACCAGCAGCCCAAGUGGUGGUCGCGAUUAUUGGGCCUAAAGCGCUCGUAGCCGGGCCGGUAAGUCCCUUGUGAAAUCGGACGGCCUAACCGUUCGGCGUGCAAGGGAUACUGUCGGUCUUGAGGCCGGGAGACGUCCGAGGUACUCCGGGGGUAGCGGUGAAAUGUUCUGAUCCUCGGGGGACCACCGGUGGCGAAGGCGUUCGACGAGAACGGGCCUGACGGUGAGGGGCGAAGGCUAGGGGGGCAAACGGGAUUAGAUACCCCAGUAGUCCCUGUCUCUUAUA